UACGUAGGGCGCAAGCGUUGUCCGGAAUUAUUGGGCGUAAAGAGCUCGUAGGCGGUCUGUCGCGUCGGCUGUGAAAACCCGAGGCUCAACCUCGGGCCUGCAGUCGAUACGGGCAGACUAGAGUGCUGUAGGGGAGACUGGAAUUCCUGGUGUAGCGGUGAAAUGCGCAGAUAUCAGGAGGAACACCAAUAGCGAAGGCAGCUCGCUGGGACGUUACUGACACUAAGGCGCGAAAGCGUGGGGAGCGAACAGG
rnacentral:rRNA from 1 species